rnacentral:snRNA from 1 species
UUAAGGUAGCCAAAUGCCUCGU